rnacentral:rRNA from 1 species
UACGAGGGGGGCGAGCGUUGUUCGGAAUUAUUGGGCGUAAAGGGCGCGUAGGCGGUGCGGUAAGUCUGCAGUGAAAUCUCUGGGCUCAACUCAGAGUCUGCUGUAGAAACUGCCGUGCUUGAGUGUGGGAGAGGUGAGUGGAAUUCCCGGUGUAGCGGUGAAAUGCGUAGAUAUCUGGAGGAACACCGGUGGCGAAGGCGGCAUCCUGGACCGACACUGACGCUGAGGAGCGAAAGCCAGGGGAGCAAACGGG